GCAAACAUUGCAAGGUCUUCAUGCCCAUCAUACAAUUUUCGCUUGACAUCAACCUCACUUCAUGGAUCAUUGAACAAAGUUAGUUUUGGUGGUCAAGUCCAUUUCUCAGAUACUAUAAGCAAUAGGUCCAGUAUAUUUGGUGUAUGGAAGGAUUGUAAGGUGUACAUGUCCAGCUAGCAGGUGUCAUUGACCUCGUAUAAUUUUAGUGGCUAAGUGGUUAUAGUUCAUUUUUUGUGUUUUAGUCUGUUUUUCUUAUACUGUAUGCAAAAUUCAUAGGUCUACUAUAUAUUUGGUGUGUAAAUUGAUUGUUAGGUGUACAUGUCCAACUGGCAGGUGUUAUCCAACGUCAACCAAUUUUAAUGGUUUAGUGGUUAUAGUUAAUUUUUUGUGUUUUAGUCUGCUUUUCUUAUACGGUAUGCAAUAGGUCUACUACAUUUGGUGUGUGCAUUGUUUGUAAGGUGAACAUGUUCAAGUGGCAGGUGUCAUCUGACCCUGACCUCAUUUUUAUGGUUAUGUGGUAAGUGUUAAGUUUUUGUGUCUUGGUAUGUUUUUCUUAAACUAUAAGCAAUAUGUCAACUAUAUUUGUUGCAUGGAAAGAUUGUAAGCUGUACAUGUCUGCCUGGCAUGGUUCAUUUGACCAUGACCUCAUUUUGAUGGUUCAUUAGUCAAUGUUGAGUUUUCUUAGUUAAGUCUAUUUCUUAGAAACUCUAAGCAAUAGGUUUACUAUAUUUAGUGUAUUGAGUGAGUAAGGUGUACAUGUAUUUCUCAUUUGGUUUAUAUGACCAUGACCUCAUCUUCUUUGAUCAUGUUGACUUUUAUAUGCGACAGUUGUAAUAAAGCUUUAUAUUUAGGGCCAUCAACAUAAUAUCAAUGGUUAGUAAAAAAGGCCAGACAUUUCAGCGUGUGCACUCUUGUUUUAUAAAAAUCUUUCAAAAAUAAGGUUUUGAGGAACAAGACAGAAAUAUUGGUCAUAUUAAUUUAAUAAUCUAUAAACAGCACUCCAGUAUAAACAAUGAAUUUAAAUGUCUUAUUCCAUGGCUUUCUGUACAGCUGCAUAACAAUCUAUAGCUACUUGUGCUUCAGCUUUACCCAUCUCUGUUGAUGCUGCUGCUAAAUCGGCCUGAGCUUUAUUUAAUCCAUCUCUAACAGCCUACAAAAUAUACAAAGUUUAAUUUCAAAAUUUCAAAACAUUUAAAAGUGCUUUAAAUCUAUUUCAGAAACAAAU
rnacentral:lncRNA from 1 species